AGGGUUCGAUUCUGGCUCAGGAUUAACGCUGGCGGCAUGCCUAAUACAUGCAAGUCGAAUGGUUAGCUUGCUAACCAUGGCGAACGGGUGAGUAACACGUAGGUAACCUGUCUUCAAGACGAGGAUAACCAUUGGAAACGAUGGAUAAUACUGGAUAGGACAAAUCCCCGCAUGAGGAGAUGUUUAAAGGAGCAAUCCACUUGAUGAGGGGCCUGCGGUGCAUUAGUUAGUUGGUGAGGUAACGGCCCACCAAGACGAUGAUGCAUAGCCGGACUGAGAGGUUGAACGGCCACAAUGGAACUGAGAACGGUCCAUACUCCUACGGGAGGCAGCAGUAGGGAAUUUUCGGCAAUGGGCGGAAGCCUGAACCCGAGCAAUGCCGCGUGAAUGAAGAAGUAUUUCGGUAUGUAAAGUUCUUUUAUUUGGGAAGAAAAAACAAAUUGACGGUACCAAAUGAAUAAGCUCCGGCUAACUACGUGCCAGCAGCAGC
rnacentral:rRNA from 1 species